GGCAUCUGAGCGCCGGCUCCGCGGAGGCGUCUCUUGCAAUUGCUGGGAAAUAGGAAUGAGAGUUUUAAGGCUGUUUUAACAACCAAAUCAGAUUAAAUAAAUUAACAUGUUUAAAUUGUUAUCAAUUGUUCCUUCAGUUGCUUUAGGACGAUUGGAGAGGAGCCUCGGUCCACAAGACCGGAAGCCUGAGGAGUGCAGCUUUGUCCCCAAGGUCACAGUGACUGGCUUUCUGCUGCCGGCUGUAAAGCACAUGCGGACCGAAACCCCCCUUCGGAAGUGUUUGAAAACUGCAAGAUUUCACCCUCUCCAUCACCAAGCCAAGGGAAACAUAACCAAAAGGGUUUUCUUCCCGAUGGCGAAGGCAUGAUAGGUUAGUGAUUCGUGGUAGAAUUAUUGCCCUCCGCGCGGAGGCCUGAUUCUAUUCCCAGUUUGUUCUCUUCUUUCCCUGCUUAUUAAAAUUUGUAAUUGC
rnacentral:lncRNA from 10 species